UUAUGUUUUUAAAUCUAUUUUUGUUUAAAAUAAAUGAUUUUAUAAACUUUUAGGUUCAAACAGUUUCUUCAGAUUUAAUCUGUUAAUCUGUAGAAACCAUCAUGGCCGCACGAUCAAGACUUUAACAGAUUACAGCACGUGUCAAACUAAAGGCCCGCGGGCCARAAGUGGCUCACAGGUGACUCCCGUUUGGCUCGCCAAGCCCCGUAUAAAAAUAGUUUUAAUUUUAAAAAUGAUAAAAUAAAUUUAAAAUCUGAAAGCUGAAACCUGUCCUGUUGGCUUUAAGUAACUGAGUAAAUGUKACCCCCCCCUGCUGGACCCCACCUGCAUUUAAGACCUGAGCAGAACCAGGACCAGGAAAAGCUCAGGUGGGCCCAGGAGCAAAAAACCAACCAACAGCUACACGAUGACUCAUCAGUUUCCAGCUGAUGUUGGACUUCAUUUUGUCCUCGGUCCGGACCUGGAGGGCAGCAGCCGACACACAGAAUCUGUGAGAAUCAUGUUUUAUUAAUUUUUAAAAUAAAUUGUUGSCAUUUGAACGGUCACGACACGCAGCUAAAAGUUUUUAAUUAGUGAAUCAGCCGAAGGUUCAGUGAGCCGAAAAGAAAAGUCGAUGUUUUGUUUGAGCCUCAGGGAGAGAAACGUUUCUUUCUGAGGAUUUACUUUAAUAYAAACGACUUUAAUUUGCUCUUAUCUGCGUUUUAUGAAAGCUUUUUAUUCAGGAAACAGAAUGACAUUUCAAAAUAAAAGCCUUUUCAGUUGAAUCUUGAGAAAUGAUGAUGGGAGAAUCCUUGAUGGAGACACUUUAUUUUAUUGAACAACAUUUUUAACAUGAAGCUCUGCAGUUUCCAUCAAACUGAACCAGUUUGAUCAAYCUCAGAUUAGUCUUAAUUUUAAAUUAAGCCUUUAAUCUGAGAUUAACACCUCUGGUUCUGACAGACGAGACGUUUUAUCUAAAACAUUAAUUUAAUCUGGAUUUCCCUCAAGAAKAAAAACACUUCUGAUCUGAUCGGGGUGAGUUUUAAAGUGCAAACACUGAAAUGCUUCAUCUGAACUUUUUAAUCUGAUAUAAUCUGGAUUAACAAACCAAAGUAACACCACAGAUGUUAAAACUGUUCAGGUAAAUAAAUGUUUAUAUUUAAAGUCAUAAAAAAGUAAACAACAUUUUAACAUUUCUCUCCAUCCAGACGACGUUUCAACAACAUGAUGCAUCAAAUGUACAAAAAUAUAUGAUCUGCAGCGACGACCGGACCGGACCGGACCGGACCGGACCGGACCACUGCACGUCUGUCGGAGCGCUGCUUCUACUGCUGGUGAGAACAUGAAGACUCAAACAUUUCCACCUGUUUUUAUUUCAGGACAAAAACACUGAAACAUUAAACACAAAGAUAAUCUGUAAUCUGACCCUCCUCCUGCUGGUCUCGGGUCUAAUCCAGGGGCAGCAGGAGGAUUAAAGCUGGUUCUGAAGUCCUGGACUCUCUGGGCCGACUCUGUUCCACGGUUAAAGGAAAUUUUGGUCAGAUUAAACUCAGAUUAAACCAGAUUUAUAAACCUGUGAAACAA